CAUUAAGUGACUGAAAAUAAGUAUUGAUCUCUUAAAUCAAUUUAUAGUAUAUUAAUAAAUACUCUUAAUGA
rnacentral:tRNA from 1 species